AACGAACGCUGGCGGCAGGCCUAACACAUGCAAGUCGAGCGGACCCUUCGGGGUUAGCGGCGGACGGGUGAGUAACGCGUGGGAAUAUGCCCUUCUCUACGGAAUAGUCCUGGGAAACUGGGGGUAAUACCGUAUACGCCCUUUGGGGGAAAGAUUUAUCGGAGAAGGAUCGGCCCGCGUUGGAUUAGGUAGUUGGUGGGGUAAUGGCCCACCAAGCCGACGAUCCAUAGCUGGUUUGAGAGGAUGAUCAGCCACACUGGGACUGAGACACGGCCCAGACUCCUACGGGAGGCAGCAGUGGGGAAUCUUAGACAAUGGGGGCAACCCUGAUCUAGCCAUGCCGCGUGAGUGAUGAAGGCCUUAGGGUUGUAAAGCUCUUUCAGCUGGGAAGAUAAUGACGGUACCAGCAGAAGAAGCCCCGGCUAACUCCGUG
rnacentral:rRNA from 1 species